GAUGAACGCUGGCGGCGUGCUUAACACAUGCAAGUCGAACGGAAAGGCCCUUGCUUGCUGGGGUACUCGAGUGGCGAACGGGUGAGUAACACGUGGGUGAUCUGCCCUGCACUUCGGGAUAAGCCUGGGAAACUGGGUCUAAUACCGGAUAGGACCAUCGUUUAGUGUCGGUGGUGGAAAGUUUUUUCGGUGUGGGAUGAGCUCGCGGCCUAUCAGCUUGUUGGUGGGGUAAUGGCCUACCAAGGCGUCGACGGGUAGCCGGCCUGAGAGGGUGUACGGCCACAUUGGGACUGAGAUACGGACCAGACUCCUACGGGAGGCAGCAGUGGGGAAUAUUGCACAAUGGGCGCAAGCCUGAUGCAGCGACGCCGCGUGGGGGAUGACGGCCUUCGGGUUGUAAACUCCUUUCGUCAGGGACGAAGCGAAAGUGACGGUACCUGGAUAAGAAGCACCGGCUAACUACGUG
rnacentral:rRNA from 1 species